AUUGAACGCUGGCGGCAGGCCUAACACAUGCAAGUCGAGCGGAUGAAGGGAGCUUGCUCCUGGAUUCAGCGGCGGACGGGUGAGUAAUGCCUAGGAAUCUGCCUGGUAGUGGGGGAUAACGUCCGGAAACGGGCGCUAUACCGCAUACGUCCUGAGGGAGAAAGUGGGGGAUCUUCGGACCUCACGCUAUCAGAUGAGCCUAGGUCGGAUUAGCUAGUUGGUGGGGUAAAGGCCUACCAAGGCGACGAUCCGUAACUGGUCUGAGAGGAUGAUCAGUCACACUGGAACUGAGACACGGUCCAGACUCCUACGGGAGGCAGCAGUGGGGAAUAUUGGACAAUGGGCGAAAGCCUGAUCCAGCCAUGCCGCGUGUGUGAAGAAGGUCUUCGGAUUGUAAAGCACUUUAAGUUGGGAGGAAGGGCAGUAAGUUAAUACCUUGCUGUUUUGACGUUACCAACAGAAUAAGCACCGGCUAACUUCGUG
rnacentral:rRNA from 1 species